AGAGUUUGAUCCUGGCUCAGAUUGAACGCUGGCGGAAUGCUUUACACAUGCAAGUCGAACGGCAGCACGGGUGCUUGCACCUGGUGGCGAGUGGCGAACGGGUGAGUAAUGCGUCGGAACGUACCGAGUAAUGGGGGAUAACGCAGCGAAAGUUGUGCUAAUACCGCAUACGCCCUCCGGGGGAAAGCAGGGGAUCUUCGGACCUUGCGUUAUUCGAGCGGCCGACGUCUGAUUAGCUAGUUGGUGGGGUAAAGGCCUACCAAGGCGACGAUCAGUAGCGGGUCUGAGAGGAUGAUCCGCCACACUGGAACUGAGACACGGUCCAGACUCCUACGGGAGGCAGCAGUGGGAAAUUUUGGACAAUGGGGGCAACCCUGAUCCAGCCAUUCCGCGUGAGUGAAGAAGGCCUUCGGGUUGUAAAGCUCUUUCAGCAGGAACGAAACGGUACGCUCUAACAUAGUGUGCUAAUGACGGUACCUGCAGAAGAAGCACCGGCUAACUACGUGCCAGCAGCCGCGGUAAUACGUAGGGUGCGAGCGUUAAUCGGAAUUACUGGGCGUAAAGCGUGCGCAGGCGGAUUGUUAAGCAAGACGUGAAAUCCCCGGGCUUAACCUGGGAAUGGCGUUUUGAACUGGCAGUCUAGAGUGUGUCAGAGGGGGGUAGAAUUCCACGUGUAGCAGUGAAAUGCGUAGAGAUGUGGAGGAAUACCGAUGGCGAAGGCAGCCCCCUGGGAUAACACUGACGCUCAUGUACGAAAGCGUGGGUAGCAAACAGGAUUAGAUACCCUGGUAGUCC
rnacentral:rRNA from 1 species